rnacentral:rRNA from 1 species
AUGCCACGACCGCAGAUUUGUGGGACAAGUAUCUCCGGAAGUCUACAUCUGAUGUCUGAGAGCACGUGCGGAGAUGUUAUGAUCAGAUUUUUUACUGCGGUGGUCAAGGUGUUUGGACCUAACUACUUGAGAGAACCAACUGCCACGGACACCGAAAGACUCUUGGCAAUGUCCGAAGCAAGAGGUGGCCUUAUUUGCUCGGAUCUCUUGAUUGCAUGCACCAGAGAUGAAAGAACUUCCCAAAAGCUCUACAAGGGCAAUAUGAGGGCCAUGUUAAGAAGCACAACAUCAUUUUUGAAGCAGUUUCAUAAUCACAUGACAUGUGGAUUUGAUAUGCUUUUUUUGACAUGUCUCGAUCUCACAAUGACAUCAAUGUACUACAGCAGUCUUCAUUGUUUGCUAGGUUGUCUAAAAAUUAAACUUCUUCUUGCAACUAUACUGUCAAUGGGCAUGAGUACAAGAUGGCUACCAUAUGGCUAA